UAUUUCCAAUUAAUCUUGGAAUGAGAGCCCCAGGCAAGAAGCCAGCGGUGCCUGAGGAAUGCUAAAGAGCAGACUGAGCCAGGGAAACAAAUGCCAGCGAGGGACCCCACAGCAAAGAGACAGACACCAUGAGCAACUCUCCGGUUACCAUGAGGCUCGCGAGGCAUGUGUGCGGGUCUCUGCGUUGGCACCAUCUGCCAAUUCCUUAGGAGGACAGAACAAACCGGCGAGGCAUGAAGAUUAGAUUAUGUAAUGCUCGAGGAUUGCUGUUUUCAAAGAGGAAACAAAUGGAACAAAUUGAUUUGCUUGUCAGAGUCAUGUCAGUAAAGGAGACCCAUUCCCUCCUCUUCCAAGAGGACUUCAUUAAAGAGGGGGAUGAUUUCACAGAAUCAGAAAAUGUGAGACCACGAUGGACUCCAUUCACAAGAGCAAGUCCAGUUUCCGGAACUGCACUGACAAACCCGCUUCUGGUCCUCAGGCCUGAAAAAUGACUAUUCAGCCACUACCUAAAAGGUACCAACACGCAAGGAACAUAAUUGCCAGUUGCCAGCCAUGAGAUUCAGAACCUGGGCGCUUUGCCUGAACUGAACUCGCUCGCUUCUGGGGAGGGAAGCAGCAUCUACUUUUGAGUCCAGUAGGGUCAUAGGUAUAUUCCAAGCUCUAAGCAAGUGCUUCUUUGAUAGGGUGGGGAGGUGUUCUGAAAAAUAUGUGCACCGGGAAGAAUCCCUUGCAUUUCUGGGAUUCUUUGGUCAAAGCUGGGCUUCUUUCAAAAUGUCCAGCUUAAUACUUUUUAUAGAAUGUUCAGUAGAUCCAAAGAAUAAACACAUGAUAACCUUGAACCUCCUGCCACAGGGCCAUCCCUAAAGGUUUCAUUGUCUAAGACAUCAAGAUUUAAAUGUCAGGCAUAUACCCAGGCACUCCAAGAUCUGAGAUGAGGGGAGAACACGACAGUGCCCAGAGCCCCAGGGGGAGCAUAACAUUCCUCCGGCUCGGCGCCUUGGACUCGUCUGGCUUCCGGCCCCAUGGCUUGUGGAUGCUGCGGGUGCUCGAGAGGAUGACUUACCCUGUUAUCUCGCAACCCUCGCCCAGUUGUUGCCGCUGCACAUUUCAGCCUGGUCCGAUUGAAAACAGGAGGCAGUGUUGGAAUGGGAGAGAGAUUCAGAAGGUCACUGAGGCGGUCAGGGUGGGCUUGGGCUGUAGUGAGCACCGCCCAGUGACAGGCAUUGCACUAAAUGGCCCCAAGGACUUUGUGUAGUAGGGACCAACGUGUCCGUUUUACAGAUAGAGAAAAUGAGGCUCCUGUGGCUUGGGGGACUUGACCACAGCCACCAGUAAUGACAGUCCUGGGAUUUGAACCCAAGUUUCUCUAGAUCCUCAACACCCAAGCUCUCUUAGGCCCUUGUUCCUUCUUCAAAAGUAGAGGUUGUUUUCCUGAAGUGUGGUCAUCACUGGGAAGGAGUUCCUGCUCUCCUUCCCUAGUAACGCAGAGCCACCUGCCUGCCUGGGUUCAUGUCUUACCUGUAUGACUUUGAACUAGUCAUGUCACCACUGAGCCUCAUCAUUGUUAUAAAAUGACACUCCUGCCUGCCUUCCACUACUCAGAAAAAUGAAUUCUACCCACCAGAUGCCAGAUACUGUGCUAGGUAAUUUCGGGGUGUGCAAAAAGCAGAAGCGAUGGGUGAGUAAAUGAGAUAUUGUAUGAACAGGCUAUUAAACUCCAAAGCCCUUUAGUAAUAUAUGAAACGGGCUCUGGGACUUCCUUGGCAGUCUAGUGAUCAAGACUCUGUGCUUCUGUGGCAGGGAAUGCAGGUUUCAUCCCUAGCUGGGAAACAGAGAUUCCUGAAUGCCCCUUGGUGUAAUAUUCAUUGGAAGGACCGAUGCUGAAGCUGAAACAACAAUACUUUGGCCACCUGCGAAGAACUAACUCAUUUGAAAAGACCCUGAUCUGGGAAAGAUUGAAGGCAGGAGGAGAAGGGGAC
rnacentral:lncRNA from 1 species